UGAAGUCUCGGAGCCGGGUGUUGGUUCCGGUAGUGAUCGAGGGAAAUUAGUACCGAAGUCCGGGAUGGAAGAUGGCGAGAAAAGCUGUGUGUAUUUCUGCGGUGCCCGUACCGCAAACCGACACAGGUAGGUAGGAAGAAGAUUCUAAGGCCAACGGGAGAAGGGUUGUUAAGGAACUCGGCAAAUUGACCCCGUAACUUCGGGAGAAGGGGUGCUCCAGAGAUGGAGCCGCAGAGAAUCGGCCCAAGCAACUGUUUACCAAAAACACAGGUUUGUGCUAAAUCGAAAGAUGACGUAUACGAGCUGACGCCUGCCCGGUGCUGGAAGGUUAAGAGGAGAUGUGCAAGCAUUGAAUCGAAGCCCCAGUGAACGGCGGCCGUAACAAUAACGGUCCUAAGGUAGCGAAAUUCCUUGUCAGGUAAGUUCUGACCCGCAUGAAAGGCGUAAUGAUUUGGGCACUGUCUCGACAGCCCGCCCGGCGAAAUUGUAGUACCGGUGAAGAUGCCGGUUACCCGCGACAAGACGGAAAGACCCCAUGGAGCCUUACUGUAGCCUAAUAUUGGGUUUCGAUGUUGCAUGCACAGGAUAGAUGGGACACUAGGAAGCAAGUGCUUUGGCAUUUGUGGAGUGGCCGUUGGGAUACCAUCCUUGCGAUAUUGGAAUUCUAACCUGCGCCUUUGAAUCAAGGCGGGGGACAUUGUUAGGUGGGCAGUUUGACUGGGGCGGUCGCCUCCUAAAGAGUAACGGAGGUGUUCAAAGGUUCGCUCAGCUUGAACGGAAAUCAAGCAAAAGAGUGCAAACGCAGAAGCGAGCCUAACUGCGAGACUGACGGGUCGAGCAGUAACGAAAGUUGGAGUUAGUGAUCCGGUGGUAUGUGAGUGGAAAUGCCAUCGCUCAACGGAUAAAAGUUACCCUGGGGAUAACAGGCUGAUCUCCCCCAAGAGUCCACAUCGACGGGGAGGUUUGGCACCUCGAUGUCGGCUCAUCGCAUCCUGGGGCUGUAUUCGGUCCCAAGGGUUUGGCUGUUCGCCAAUUAAAGCGGUACGCGAGCUGGGUUCAGAACGUCGUGAGACAGUUCGGUCCCUAUCUGUCGUGGGCGCAGGAUAUUUGAUGGGAGCUGUUCCUAGUACGAGAGGACCGGAGCGGACGUACCUCUGGCGCACCAGUUGUUCUGCCAAGGGCAUAGCUGGGCAACUAUGUACGGAUCGGAUAAACGCUGAAAGCAUCUAAGCGUGAAGCCGACCCAAAGAUAAGAUAUCCCAUUGUUUCAAACAAGUAAAACCCCUUGAAGACUACAAGGUUGAUAGGCAUGAUGUGUAAGUGGAGUGAUCCAUUCAGCAAGCAUGUACUAAUAGGUCGAGGGCUUGACC
rnacentral:rRNA from 1 species